rnacentral:rRNA from 1 species
ACAUGCAAGUCGUACGGGAUGGCCCAUUGAUAAUAUCUGAAAGUCUAAGUGCUUGCACAAAGGCUGGAUGAUAUUUGAUUUGGAUCUUCCAUCCAGUGGCAAACGGGUGAGUAACACGUGGGUUACCUACCUCUAAGUUGGGGAUAACAGUUGGAAACGAUUGCUAAUACCGAAUGUGCUCUACGGAGUAAAGAUGCCUUUAAAGCAUCGCUUAGAGAUGGGCCUGCGGCGUAUUAGCUAGUUGGUGGGGUAACGGCCUACCAAGGCGACGAUGCGUAGCCGAACUGAGAGGUUAAUCGGCCACACUGGGACUGAGACACGGCCCAGACUCCUACGGGAGACAGCAGUUAGGAAUAUUCGUCAAUGGGGGAAACCCUGAACGAGCAAUGCCGCGUGAGUGAUGAAGGCCCUAUGGGUUGUAAAACUCUGUUGUUUGGAAAGAAUUGUAAGAGUAGGAAAUGACUCUUGCUUGACGGUACCAUUCAAGAAAGCCACGGCUAACUACGUG